GACAGAGGGGGCAAGCGUUGCUCGGAAUUACUGGGCGUAAAGCGCGUGUAGGCGGGCCGGAAAGUCGGGCGUGAAAUCCCUGGGCUCAACCCAGGAACUGCACUCGAAACUUCCGGUCUAGAGUGGUGGAGAGGGAAGUGGAAUUCCUGGUGUAGAGGUGAAAUUCGUAGAUAUCAGGAGGAACACCAGUGGCGAAGGCGGCUUCCUGGACACCAACUGACGCUGAGACGCGAAAGCGUGGGGAGCAAACAGG
rnacentral:rRNA from 1 species